UUUCAGGAGGAGGGUCGACGGGGAUCAUGGAGCAGCUGCUCACCAGGCAGCACCAGCAGGUCCUCACCAAGCAGACUGGCGGCUAAGAUGGUGGUUGCUGUGCUCAUCUCUGAAAUCUCAGUUUUGGGUAGCUGACUAUUCUUGCUAUUUCCUGUUUGAGUUGCUACCCUUGUGGUGCAUAGCUAGAACCAAAUUAUGAACUGAACAACUGACACUGCCCCAAACAUACAUGUAGUCGUGACCACAAUUUACAAUAUCAUAAUAUUGUCCCCUCAUGCCUAACUGGUCAAGGAAGUAACGUCACUUAUAUUUUUUUUUAUAAUUGAUCUUUCCUUACUAUCUUGUUUGCUUUAUCUUGUUGCAAUUCUUGGAAGCUUUCUUGCAGCAGUUCAUUACUGAUCGUUAUUCUUGGAAUUACACAGUAUCCGAAUACCAUGUGUAUGAGUUCUUUAGGGUCAGCAUACGCUCCCAUUUGAGUUGUCGGCGAGGAUAUAGGCUGGGGUUGGCGGUUAUGGUAUGGAUCUCUACAUACGACUGAAGCUUGCGGAGGGUAUGCAGCCACAGCCUAGCUAGGCCGAUGGCCUAUUGCCGGUGGCUGGGGACUGAACGGAUCAUUUUUGCCGCCACUUCCCACAAGAAUGGCUCGACAAUUUCUGCAGCUUAUGACCGGCUAAAAGACGGAUGAUGUUUUCUUGGUAACUUGUUCCAUUUGUUCAAGAUGUCUUGCUGCAUAGGAAAGUAUGCCGUUUCAAACUGACCACUACAUCCUGAAGAUCUUUUCUCCUGUCUGACAAGUGACACACAAUAGUCAAUACACUGUUGGCUAUGCAUUAUUAGCAGGGAUUUGUAUGUGAUCAAUUAAUCACAUGAAGUAUUCUACAUUUUGAAAAGAUUUUUUCCAUAUCGUAAGAUAAUCAACUCAAUAUUAUUGGCUGGGAUUGCAUCAGCAUCUCUUUUCUAGAAAUUUUCGUUUUGGCUCCCACUGUAAAGAAAUCAUAUUAUCAUUUUUUUUACCAGUUUAUAGGUUCUAGAGUGAGCAAAACAUAUGAACGAUGAUUCUUGGACACAAUUAAAUAUAUUCUCAAUUUUUUGGGGGUUUGAUGGUUCA